rnacentral:lncRNA from 1 species
AGAUGAUGGGACACGUCAUCGUUUCUUUCAUAUCCCAUUCGGGAACUUGGAGCCUCCGAUAGGAGGGAAAGUUUGGAGGGAAACAAAAACAAUAAGCCGACACGACCAGGACGGUUACAUUGUGCUUCGAAUUAUAAAAGUUAAGAGGCCUUUCUUCAUUCCUCAAUUACAAAACACCAUCAUAAUCAUGACUCAUAACUUUUGGUUCUUUUAAAGUCUUGACAUCCAUCACAUGUUGUAUUCUCACAUUCACCCACGAAAUCCAAUGUGGUUUGUUCGUUCUCAAAACUAAGGUAGUGUUUACUUUCUGGAGUGGGAGUGUGGAGUGUGGAUUCCUCCCACUUCAGUGUUUACUUACCUUAAAAAUGGGGAGAGUGAGAGUAUGAAUCUGUGGGUCCCACUCAAAUUUGGAGUGGGGAGUGGGAUUCCCACUCCCAUUGGGGGAGGUGGGAGUGGGAAUCCACUCUCCCCUCUUCCCAUUUUAUCCUUAUAAAAUUAAAAUAAAUAAAUAAUAUUUAAUAAAAUAAAUAAUAUUUAAUAAAAUAAAUAAUAUCAUAUUUAUUAAAAAUAAUAAUUAUAUCAUAUUUAUUUUAUUAAAUUUAAUAAAAUAAAACUGCUGUACGGCCAAGGCGGAUGUACGGUACAGCAGCUUUUUUUUUUUAAUGUUAAUAGAAUAUAUUUUCCAAAUAUAUUUUUUAUUAAUUUUUUAAUUACAAAUUAUAAUUCUGUACAUAAGGAUAAAAUUAUAAUUUAAAAUAAUUUACUCUCAAUCCAAGACAAAGUAAACAAAUAAUUGGGAUUCUAAUUGACAAUCCAUAUUUUUAUUUAGUCUAAGUAAACACCCUACUCUCACUCCCACCCCACACUCCUAAUCUAAGGAUUCCCACUCCUCAGGAUUCCCACUCCAAUCCAAAAGGUAAACGCAGCAUAAGUGUAUGUGGGUGUGGGUGUGGGUGUUGUGUGUUUUGACUUUGUCAUAACUCAUACGUAAUGUGCGUAAUAUUGAAAUUUUACGCGGGAUUGGGGACUGGGACAGCUGAGUCAAAUACUAUGGGCAAAUAUGGAUUUG